GGAAGCGGCGGACGGGUGAGUAACGCGUGGGCAACCUGCCCCCUGCCGGGGGACAGCCCGGGGAAACCCGGGGUGACACCCCAUGAAGCGGGGGCGGCGCAUGCCGCCCCGGCCAAAGGGUACGGAAGGGGAGGGGCCCGCGUCCGAUUAGCUGGUUGGCGGGGCAGCGGCCCGCCAAGGCGACGAUCGGUAGCCGGCCCGAGAGGGCGGACGGCCACAUUGGGACUGAGACACGGCCCAGACUCCUGCGGGAGGCAGCAGUGGGGGAUCUUGCACAAUGGGCGGAAGCCUGAUGCAGCGACGCCGCGUGGGCGAAGGAGGCCCCAGGGCCGUAAAGCCCCGUCGGGGGGGGCGAAGGGAGCGACGGUACCCCCCGAGGAAGCCCCGGCCAACCACGUGCCAGCAGCCGCGGUAACACGUGGGGGGCGAGCGUUAUCCGGAAUCACUGGGCGUAAAGGGUGCGUAGGCGGCCCCCCCGGCCCGGGGUUUAAGGCGGCGGCCCAACCGCCGCGUGCCCCGGGGACCAGGGGGCUUGGGCGUCGGAGGGGGGAGCGGAAUUCCUGGUGUAGCGGUGAAAUGCGCAGAUAUCAGGAGGAACACCGGCGGCGAAGGCGGCUCCCCGGACGGCGGCCGACGCUGAGGCACGAGAGCGCGGGUAGCGAACGGGAUUAGAUACCCCGGUAGUCCGCGCCGUAAACGAUGGGCACUGGGUGUCGGGGCCGCGAGGCCCCGGUGCCGGAGCGAACGCGUUAAGUGCCCCGCCUGGGGAGUACGCGCGCAAGCGCGAAACUCAAAGGAAUUGACGGGGACCCGCACAAGCAGCGGAGCAUGUGGUUCAAUUCGAAGCGACGCGAAGAACCUUACCAAGGCUGGACACCCCGCCGGAGGGGCCCGCAACGGGGCCCCGCCUUCGGGCGGCGGGGCAGGUGGUGCAUGGUUGUCGUCAGCUCGUGCCGUGAGGUGUUGGGUUAAGUCCCGCAACGAGCGCAACCCCCGCCGGCAGUUGCUAACGGGAGAGCCGAGGACCCUGUCGGGACCGCCGCGGACGACGCGGAGGAAGGCGGGGACGACGUCAAAUCAUCAUGCCCCCGAUGCCUUGGGCCACACACGUGCUACAAUGGCCGGAACAGAGGGAAGCGAGGCCGCGAGGCCGGGCGGACCCCGAAAGCCGGCCCCAGUUCGGAUCGCGGGCUGAAACCCGCCCGCGUGAAGCCGGAGUUGCUAGUAAUCGCGGAUCAGAACGCCGCGGUGAAUGCGUUCCCGGGUCUUGCACACACCGCCCGUCA
rnacentral:rRNA from 1 species